UACGAAGGGUGCAAGCGUUACUCGGAAUUACUGGGCGUAAAGCGCGUGUAGGCGGUCCGGUAAGUCCGCUGUGAAAGUCGGGGGCUCAACCCUCGAAUGCCGGUGGAUACUGUCGGGCUAGAGUGCGGAAGAGGCGAGUGGAAUUCCUGGUGUAGCGGUGAAAUGCGCAGAUAUCAGGAGGAACACCAAUUGCGAAGGCAGCUCGCUGGGACGUUACUGACGCUGAGACGCGAAAGCGUGGGGAGCAAACAGG
rnacentral:rRNA from 1 species